UUUUUUGGUUUUUUUUU
rnacentral:sRNA from 1 species